AUUGAACGCUGGCGGCAUGCUUUACACAUGCAAGUCGAACGGUAGAGGGGGCAACCCCUUGAGAGUGGCGAACGGGUGAGUAAUGCAUCGGAACGUGCCCAGUCGUGGGGGAUAACGCAGCGAAAGCUGUGCUAAUACCGCAUACGAUCUCUGGAUGAAAGCGGGGGACCGAAAGGCCUCGCGCGAUUGGAGCGGCCGGUGUCAGAUUAGGUAGUUGGUGGGGUAAAGGCCUACCAAGCCAACGAUCUGUAGCUGGUCUGAGAGGACGACCAGCCACACUGGGACUGAGAAACGGCCCAGACUCCUACGGGAGGCAGCAGUGGGGAAUUUUGGACAAUGGGCGCAAGCCUGAUCCAGCAAUGCCGCGUGCAGGAAGAAGGCCUUCGGGUUGUAAACUGCUUUUGUACGGAACGAAACGGUCUGGGUUAAUACCCUGGGCUAAUGACGGUACCGUAAGAAUAAGCACCGGCUAACUACGUGCCAGCCGCCGCGGUAA
rnacentral:rRNA from 1 species